AAGAUCUUAGUUUAACGGUAAAACAUAUGCCUUUUAAUCAUUAGUAUUUGGGUUCAAAUCCCAAAGAUCUUA
rnacentral:tRNA from 1 species